UACAGAGGUCCCAAGCGUUGUUCGGAUUCACUGGGCGUAAAGGGUGCGUAGGUGGCGAGGUAAGUCGGAUGUGAAAGCUCGGAGCUCAACUCCGAAAUGGCAUUGGAAACUACCUUGCUCGAGGGUCGGAGAGGGGACUGGAAUACUUGGUGUAGCAGUGAAAUGCGUAGAUAUCAAGUGGAACACCAGUGGCGAAGGCGAGUCCCUGGACGACUCCUGACACUGAGGCACGAAAGCUAGGGGAGCAAACAGG
rnacentral:rRNA from 1 species